UGACCAACGUGGGGCUCGAACCCACGACUCUGAUAUUAAGAGUCUCAUGCUCUACCGUGUUCGGCUAGCUCAGUC